AGCGAACGCUGGCGGCAGGCCUAACACAUGCAAGUCGAGCGGAUGAGGGAAGCUUGCUUCCCGAUUUAGCGGCGGACGGGUGAGUAAUGCCUAGGAAUCUGCCUAUUAGUGGGGGAUAACGUUCCGAAAGGAACGCUAAUACCGCAUACGUCCUACGGGAGAACGUGGGGGAUCUUCGGACCUCACGCUAAUAGAUGAGCCUAGGUCGGAUUAGCUAGUUGGUGAGGUAACGGCUCACCAAGGCGACGAUCCGUAGCUGGUCUGAGAGGAUGAUCAGCCACACUGGAACUGAGACACGGUCCAGAGUCCUACGGGAGGCAGCAGUGGGGAAUAUUGGACAAUGGGCGAAAGCCUGAUCCAGCCAUGCCGCGUGUGUGAAGAAGGUCUUCGGAUUGUAAAGCACUUUAAGUUGGGAGGAAGGGUUGUAAGCUAAUAUCUUGCAGCUUUGACGUUACCAACAGAAUAAGCACCGGCUAACUCUGUGCCAGCCGCCGCCGUAAAAC
rnacentral:rRNA from 1 species